rnacentral:rRNA from 1 species
UUUUCCGGUUGAUCCUGCCAGAGGCUACUGCUAUCGGGGUUCGAUUAAGCCAUGCGAGUUAAAUGUUCUUCGUGAACAUAGCGAACUGCUCAGUAACACGUGGAUAACCUACCCUUAGGACCGGAAUAACCCCGGGAAACUGGGGAUAAUACCGGAUAAGCCAUAGACGCUGGAAUGCCCUAUGGUUCAAAGCUCCGGCGCCUAAGGAUGGAUCUGCGGUCUAUCAGGUUGUAGUGGGUGUAACGUACCUACUAGCCGACGACGGAUACGGGUUGUGAGAGCAAGAGCCCGGAGAUGGAUUCUGAGACACGAAUCCAGGCCCUACGGGGUGCAGCAGGCGCGAACACUUUACAAUGCGGGAAACCGCGAUAAGGGAACCCCGAGUGCCAGCAUCAAAUGUUGGCUGUCCAGAUGAUUAAAAAUCAUUUGUUAGCAAGGGCCGGGCAAGACCGGUGCCAGCCGCCGCGGUAACACCGGCGGCCCGAGUGGUAGCCGUUUUUAUUGGGUCUAAAGGGUCCGUAGCCGGCCUGAUAAGUCCUUUGGGAAAUCUGGCAGCUUAACUGUCAGGCUUCUAAGGGAUACUGUCAGGCUUGGGACCGGAAGAGGUAAGGGGUACUCCAGGGGUAGGAGUGAAAUCUUGUAAUCCCUGGGGGACCAUCUGUGGCGAAGGCGCCUUACCAGAACGGGUCCGACGGUGAGGGACGAAAGCUAGGGGAGCAAACCGGAUUAGAUACCCGGGUAGUCCUAGCUGUAAACGAUGCUCGCUAGGUGUCAGACACGGUGCGACCGUGUUUGGUGCCGCAGGGAAGCCGUUAAGCGAGCCACCUGGGAAGUACGGUCGCAAGGCUGAAACUUAAGAGGAAUGGCGGGGCAGCAACUACAAAAAGGAAAUGUGC